UACGAAGGGGGCUAGCGUUGCUCGGAAUUACUGGGCGUAAAGGGCGCGUAGGCGGAUAUCUAAGUUGGGGGUGAAAUCCCGGGGCUCAACCUCGGAAUUGCCUUCAAAACUGGAUAUCUUGAGUUCGGGAGAGGUGAGUGGAACUCCGAGUGUAGAGGUGAAAUUCGUAGAUAUUAGGAAGAACACCGGUGGCGAAGGCGGCCAUCUGGCUCGGUACUGACGCUCAGGCGCGAAAGCGUGGGGAGCAAACAGG
rnacentral:rRNA from 1 species